GGGGCCCGCGGAGCGGAGCCGGGCCUACCCCGUGCUGCGGAGACAGAACCUGGUGCUCACGGGGAGCAUCUUCAGUAUCCUGUUGAUCACCAUGAUCCUGAUGGCUGUAUGCGUCUACAAGCCCAUUCGACGACGGUAGCAGAGCGGGAAGAAUCGGAAUGGAUUGGUCACCUUGCUUGUGGAAAUUUUGCGAUCAAAUCCCUGGUGCUCGGAAAUGACCUGUGCUGUGCAGCAACUGUAAAUCCAGCCUGAUUUGUAAUCUGAGUUCUGGCUUGUAAACCGCUACGGUUGCUUAGUAAAGAGACUGUGAGAAGUAUUUUUUUUUUUUCCCUCUAACAUGUAAUGUAACCAGUUGUUUCCCUUGCAGAAGCAUGCCUACAACUGCUUGGCUGCUCUCAAAGACACCAUAGCUAGAAUCUGAAAAUCUCCUCCCAGAUCUCUAGCAAUUAGUAGCUCAACUGAGGUCUCUCUUCAAACAUGGAUGCCUAAAGUUAGACACUUAAAUAAAUGUGGCCUAAGUCUGGCAAAUUUUAUGUCAGUGACUAAUUCUAAGCACUCAUGUUUGAAAAUGUUAGCUGUGAACUUCAUUUAGUAUUUGGCCUAACUCUCAUAGGAAAAGCUAGGAAUAUGUGAAGUAUUUUACUUUGGUAUUGCCGACAGGAAGACACUACCACUUAGACUUGCUGUAUUUCUGAAUUCUGUUCACAAUUCCUGGGUGGGAAUAUGACAUGAGUAACCCUCAUGAUACUCCUUAAACACAGCCUCUAAGUGAUCCUAACAUGAAAACAAUGUACUUUAGAUAAUGUAGUUCAUGUGCCAUUUUUGGCAGCAAGGCUGAUUACAAUUUCAGCUGUUUCGAAUGUUGAAGUUUUCUCAGUCUAGUCUGUCAAAUACAAAGUGGCCUUAGUGUGGUGGUAUCAGAAACAGAGUUAAAUGGAAAGCUUAUAACUUUUGAUUUGUUUUAAAAAUCAUAAUUUUGCAAGCAGGCAAGUGCAUUGGAUUCUGAUGUAUUGAUUGGUUUUGCAGUCUUAAGGAAUUUAACUCUCCCCUCAAGCAUGAAGUCUAUUAGGUUUCUAGAGCGAGUCUUAUAAAAGUCAGUCAAAAGACGAGGGCUCUAGUCAUGAACUUGGCUUUGUAGGGCUGGUCUACGCACACAUUUGAACUGAAAUAAAAGUGUGAAUUAAAACUGAUUUCAUUAUUUUGGGGGCAUGUUAGUCUGUUACUGACUUUCGCUGCUUUUAUUCUGAAAUGAGUGUCUUACACUCAGACUUACCAAAAUAGCUAUAUUGGUUUUUGGAAUCCGGUCCAAGUUUUUUUUUGUAGACCAGACCCCAGGGCUGAACAAAUGUUCAUGUCCUUAACUGUGUAAUAGGUUUGGGCUCAGUAGAUAAAAUGACUAACAAUGUAAACUUCAGCCCCUUAGAUAUUUCCAAAAAAAAUCAGUCAGGAUUGAGAGCCUGCUUUAAUAAGAUUGAGGGACUGUCACUUUCAAAACCUUGUGGAAGCGUUCUGUGUUUAAGUUAUGUGCCUUGUACGUGAUAAGUGUUUACACUGGCAAAUCCCACUUGCAUUUAAUGCUGCUAUUUUAUUUUGCACUGGUAUAAGUGUUAGUU